rnacentral:rRNA from 1 species
AGCGAACGUUUGCGGCGGGCCUAACACAUGCAAGUCGAACGCACUAGCAAUAGUGAGUGGCGCACGGGUGCGUAACACGUGGGUAAUCAACCCUUCAGCCUGGGAUAGCGACUCGAAAGGGUCGCUAAUACCGGAUACGGCGCGAGAGGCUUCGGCUUCUCACGAGAAAGCCACGCAAGGGGCACUGAAGGACGAGCUUGCGGCCCAUCAGCUAGUUGGUGAGGUAAGAGCUCACCAAGGCUAAGACGGGUAGCUGGUCUGAGAGGAUGAUCAGCCACACUGGAACUGAGACACGGUCCAGACUCCUACGGGAGGCAGCAGUGGGGAAUAUUGCGCAAUGGGCGAAAGCCUGACGCAGCCACGCCGCGUGAGCGAUGAA